AAAGAGAAGGCAAGGUAAGAGCGAUUAUCAUGCUGAAUGGGUUACACAGAGGGCACUGACGACAUUCCACAAGCGGCCAGCAUUGCAGCAACAGAGCAUGGCCGUUUGUGGAUUGUUAUCAAUGCUCUGUGUGUUUCCCAUUCAACCUGAUAUGGACUCUUGCCCAGGCCGCUCUUU